CGCUGGCGGCGUGCCUAAUACAUGCAAGUCGAACGCACAGCGAAAGGUGCUUGCACCUUUCAAGUGAGUGGCGAACGGGUGAGUAACACGUGGACAACCUGCCUCAAGGCUGGGGAUAACAUUUGGAAACAGAUGCUAAUACCGAAUGAAACUUAGUGUCGCAUGACGCGAAGUUAAAAGGCGCUUUGGCGUCACCUAGAGAUGGAUCCGCGGUGCAUUAGUUAGUUGGUGGGGUAAAGGCCUACCAAGACAAUGAUGCAUAGCCGAGUUGAGAGACUGAUCGGCCACAUUGGGACUGAGACACGGCCCAAACUCCUACGGGAGGCUGCAGUAGGGAAUCUUCCACAAUGGGCGAAAGCCUGAUGGAGCAACGCCGCGUGUGUGAUGAAGGCUUUCGGGUCGUAAAGCACUGUUGUAUGGGAAGAACAGCUAGAAUAGGGAAUGAUUUUAGUUUGACGGUACCAUACCAGAAAGGGACGGCUAAAUACGUGCCAGCAGCCGCGGUAAUACGUAUGUCCCGAGCGUUAUCCGGAUUUAUUGGGCGUAAAGCGAGCGCAGACGGUUGAUUAAGUCUGAUGUGAAAGCCCGGAGCUCAACUCCGGAAUGGCAUUGGAAACUGGUUAACUUGAGUGCAGUAGAGGUAAGUGGAACUCCAUGUGUAGCGGUGGAAUGCGUAGAUAUAUGGAAGAACACCAGUGGCGAAGGCGGCUUACUGGACUGUAACUGACGUUGAGGCUCGAAAGUGUGGGUAGCAAACAGGAUUAGAUACCCUGGUAGUCCACACCGUAAACGAUGAACACUAGGUGUUAGGAGGUUUCCGCCUCUUAGUGCCGAAGCUAACGCAUUAAGUGUUCCGCCUGGGGAGUACGACCGCAAGGUUGAAACUCAAAGGAAUUGACGGGGACCCGCACAAGCGGUGGAGCAUGUGGUUUAAUUCGAAGCAACGCGAAGAACCUUACCAGGUCUUGACAUCCUUUGAAGCUUUUAGAGAUAGAAGUGUUCUCUUCGGAGACAAAGUGACAGGUGGUGCAUGGUCGUCGUCAGCUCGUGUCGUGAGAUGUUGGGUUAAGUCCCGCAACGAGCGCAACCCUUAUUGUUAGUUGCCAGCAUUCAGAUGGGCACUCUAGCGAGACUGCCGGUGACAAACCGGAGGAAGGCGGGGACGACGUCAGAUCAUCAUGCCCCUUAUGACCUGGGCUACACACGUGCUACAAUGGCGUAUACAACGAGUUGCCAACCCGCGAGGGUGAGCUAAUCUCUUAAAGUACGUCUCAGUUCGGAUUGUAGUCUGCAACUCGACUACAUGAAGUCGGAAUCGCUAGUAAUCGCGGAUCAGCACGCCGCGGUGAAUACGUUCCCGGGUCUUGUACACACCGCCCGUCACACCAUGGGAGUUUGUAAUGCCCAAAGCCGGUGGCCUAACCUUUUAGGAAGGAGCCGUCUAAGGCAGGACAGAUGA
rnacentral:rRNA from 1 species